UCCCUGGUGGUCUAGUGGUUAAGAAUCCAUCUUGGAAUGCAGGGGACGUAGGUUCAAUCCCUGGCCAGGGAA
rfam:TPA: Bos taurus chromosome 6, whole genome shotgun sequence.